rnacentral:lncRNA from 1 species
UAAGCUCAAAUCGAAAGAUACUUAAAUGUAUUAAAUUUUUUUUUUCUCUUUUCUGGUAUUGAUCUUGUCAUUAUUAGAACAAGUGGGAGAUUGUUGAAUUUAUAAACAAUAAAUGUCCACGGGUGUGUUCCCAAAUGAUAAGAAAAGUGGAAGUGAGUAAAUGUCAAUAAAUGCUUAGGAAAUAGUCCCACAUAGAAAGUGACACUCACAUUAAAA